AUUGAACGCUGGCGGCAUGCUUUACACAUGCAAGUCGAACGGUAACAGGCCGCAAGGUGCUGACGAGUGGCGAACGGGUGAGUAAUGCAUCGGAACGUGCCCAGUCGUGGGGGAUAACGCAGCGAAAGCUGUGCUAAUGCCGCAUACGAUCUAUGGAUGAAAGCGGGGGACCGUAAGGCCUCGCGCGAUUGGAGCGGCCGAUGUCAGAUUAGGUAGUUGGUGGGGUAAAGGCCCACCAAGCCGACGAUCUGUAGCUGGUCUGAGAGGACGACCAGCCACACUGGGACUGAGACACGGCCCAGACUCCUACGGGAGGCAGCAGUGGGGAAUUUUGGACAAUGGGCGCAAGCCUGAUCCAGCAAUGCCGCGUGCAGGGAGAAGGCCUUCGGGUUGUAAACUGCUUUUGUACGGAACGAAACGGUCUGGGUUAAUACCCUGGGCUAAUGACGGUACCGUAAGAAUAAGCACCGGCUAACUACGUGCCAGCCGCCGCCGUAA
rnacentral:rRNA from 1 species